AACAUCUUGGCGAGGGGCAUUCACAUGCACCCACAUAAAGUGCAGAGGCCCUUUGCACAGAAUCCCGGCAGGGGGCCCUCGGCGGCUCUGACCCUCAGCCUGCACCGUGAGCAUCCUGUGCCCUGGCCAGGGUGAAGACUCCGACCACAGACCCUUCACCUGGUAGAGCGUCCCCAACCAGCCCAUCUGCAGAACGACCCUGUGGGCUGGGGCCGGCCCCCUGCAUUGGGCCCCUCACAACCAGUCUGUCUCCAUCCCAUGCCCUGAAUCUGCCCCCAGGAACCCUCAGUGUCACACCCACCCUGUGGGCCAGGUCAAUGCACUCAACACUGGGGUGCUGAGGACACGGGGGUGCGCCCUCCAACAAGGGCUGUGCUGGGACGGGCCCAGCUGUGAGGCUGCAGUUGACCUCCCAGGGGGACGCGGCCCUGCCAGGAGGGCUCCGUGAGUGCACACUCUCCUCUGGGCUUCCCGGGCACGGGGCCUCCCCUGGCACAGCACAGCCCCUCACAGCACAGGCCUCGCCGGGCUCUAGCUCUGUAUCUGUGCUCCCGGCAGGCCAGCACCCCAUCGCAAUGUCCUGUGCCUCUCAGGGCCCAGGGUGACCCCUCCCCAGCACAGCUGCCCCGCAGGACUCCUGCCAGUCCCAUUCACGCUGGCCUGCCCCCAGCCUGCCCCCGCAGGACUCCUGCCAGUCCCUUUCACGCUGGCCUGCCCCCAGCCUGUCCCCGCAGGACUCCUGCCAGUCCCUUUCACGCUGGCCUGCCCCCAGCCUGUCCCCGCAGGACUCCUGCCAGUCCCUUUCACGCUGGCCUGCCCCCAGCCUGUCCCCGCAGGACUCCUGCCAGUCCCUUUCACGCUGGCCUGCCCCCAGCCUGCCAUUUCAGAGGCAGCCUUGGUAACCAAUGCUCAAAUGACCACUGCCCAGGCCAGAAUCUCAGAGGAGGCCACAGGUCCCCGGUACGCUCUGAUGGGGCAGCCUCCAUGGGGGAUCCCUGGGCCCUGAACACCCUCCUUUCUCACUGUCCCUCCCUCCCCUGCAAAGGGCAUCCUCAGCUGCUUCUGAAACCUGGGGGGCUGUGGUGGGAAACAGGUAGGUCACGUGGUUUCCAGGCUUUUCAAGCCCACUGUUUUCAAUCUAGAGAUUUCACAGAAAAACCCGUGUUUUCAGCUUCUCUUGAAAAGUCAGAUCUGCCCUCAGGUGCCACCCACUUCCCCUGGG
rnacentral:antisense_RNA from 1 species